rnacentral:rRNA from 1 species
AUUGAACGCUGGCGGCAUGCCUUACACAUGCAAGUCGAACGGUAACAGGUUAAGCUGACGAGUGGCGAACGGGUGAGUAAUGUAUCGGAACGUGCCCAGUCGUGGGGGAUAACUGCUCGAAAGAGCAGCUAAUACCGCAUACGACCUGAGGGUGAAAGCGGGGGAUCGCAAGACCUCGCUCGAUUGGAGCGGCCGAUAUCAGAUUAGGUAGUUGGUGAGGUAAAGGCUCACCAAGCCGACGAUCUGUAGCUGGUCUGAGAGGACGACCAGCCACACUGGGACUGAGACACGGCCCAGACUCCUACGGGAGGCGGCAGUGGGGAAUUUUGGACAAUGGGCGCAAGCCUGAUCCAGCCAUGCCGCGUGCGGGAAGAAGGCCUUCGGGUUGUAAACCGCUUUUGUCAGGGAAGAAAAGGUUCUGGCUAAUACCUGGGACUCAUGACGGUACCUGAAGAAUAAGCACCGGCUAACUACGUGCCAGCCGCCGCGGUAAUAC